UCACGGUUGGGCAUGUCAAACCUCCCAUUCAAGUUCCAACAUGGGGGAGGUAGAAUUCCUUGAGCUUCAGAAGGAACUCAUUGGAAGUAGGGCCACAAACAUGAAUUUUAACUCUACAAGCACAGAUGAUGAUCAUCCUACAAGCACGGAUGAUGAUCAUCCUACAGGCACGGAUGAUGAUCAUCCUACAAGCACGGAUGAUGACUCAAAUGAUAUUGCAUACAGUGCACAAGAGAAGCAAGGGUGUUGUGAGGUUGUGACUAGGAAGGAUCAGUUAGUGAGGCUAGGUGAGGAACACCCUGCUUGGAUGUUGGUC
rnacentral:lncRNA from 1 species